rnacentral:rRNA from 1 species
UUAGAGUUUGAUCCUGGCUCAGAUUGAACGCUGGCGGCAGGCCUAACACAUGCAAGUCGAGCGGAUGAAGAGAGCUUGCUCUCUGAUUCAGCGGCGGACGGGUGAGUAAUGCCUAGGAAUCUGCCUGAUAGUGGGGGACAACGUUUCGAAAGGAACGCUAAUACCGCAUACGUCCUACGGGAGAAAGCAGGGGACCUUCGGGCCUUGCGCUAUCAGAUGAGCCUAGGUCGGAUUAGCUAGUUGGUGAGGUAACGGCUCACCAAGGCGACGAUCCGUAACUGGUCUGAGAGGAUGAUCAGUCACACUGGAACUGAGACACGGUCCAGACUCCUACGGGAGGCAGCAGUGGGGAAUAUUGGACAAUGGGCGAAAGCCUGAUCCAGCCAUGCCGCGUGUGUGAAGAAGGUCUUCGGAUUGUAAAGCACUUUAAGUUGGGAGGAAGGGCAUUAACCUAAUACGUUAGUGUUUUGACGUUACCGACAGAAUAAGCACCGGCUAACUUCGUGCCAGCAGCCGCGGUAAUACGAAGGGUGCAAGCGUUAAUCGGAAUUACUGGGCGUAAAGCGCGCGUAGGUGGUUUGUUAAGUUGAAUGUGAAAGCCCCGGGCUCAACCUGGGAACUGCAUCCAAAACUGGCAAGCUAGAGUAUGGCAGAGGGUGGUGGAAUUUCCUGUGUAGCGGUGAAAUGCGUAGAUAUAGGAAGGAACACCAGUGGCGAAGGCGACCACCUGGGCUAAUACUGACACUGAGGUGCGAAAGCGUGGGGAGCAAACAGGAUUAGAUACCCUGGUAGUCCACGCCGUAAACGAUGUCGACUAGCCGUUGGGAUCCUUGAGAUCUUAGUGGCGCAGCUAACGCAUUAAGUCGACCGCCUGGG